rnacentral:snRNA from 11 species
AUACUUACCUGGCAGGGAGGGGAGGAUAUCAUGAUCAGGAAGUUUUCUCAGGGCGAGGCUUAUCCAUUGCACCCUGGAUGUGCUGACCCCUGUGAUUCCAGCAAAUGUGGGAAACUCAUAGUGGGGGACUGCAUUCUCACUCUCCCCUU